rnacentral:rRNA from 1 species
UACGGAGGGUGCAAGCGUUAUCCGGAUUUACUGGGUUUAAAGGGUGCGUAGGUGGGUAUGUAAGUCAGUGGUGAAAUCUUCGAGCUUAACUCGGAAACUGCCAUUGAUACUAUAUAUCUUGAAUGUCCUGGAGGUAAGCGGAAUAUGUCAUGUAGCGGUGAAAUGCUUAGAUAUGACAUAGAACACCCAUUGCGAAGGCAGCUUACUACGGGAUUAUUGACACUGAGGCACGAAAGCGUGGGGAUCAAACAGG